rnacentral:rRNA from 1 species
CCCUUAGAUGUUCGGGGCCGCACGCGCGCUACACUGAAGGAAUCAGCACGUCUUUCUCCUUGUCCGAAAGGACUGGGUAACCCGCUGAACCUCCUUCGUGCUAGGGAUUGGGGCUUGUAAUUCUUCCCCAUGAACGAGGAAUUCCCAGUAAGCGCGAGUCAUAAGCUCGCGUUGAUUACGUCCCUGCCCUUUGUACACACCGCCCGUCGCUACUACCGAUUGGAUGGUUUAGUGAGAUCCUCGGAUUGGUCCCGGAGCGGCCUCUGGUCGUGCCGGAGUGCCGAAAAGAACGUCGAACUUGAUCAUCUAGAGGAAGUAAAAGUCGUAACA